UGGGGAGCUUAGCUACAGGUGACACUUUUGUAGGGCCGGAGUAUGUGUUCUCUGGAAGGUGCUAUACACACGCCGGUGCCAUGCAGUCGAGUGAAAUAAGUGGGUUUCUUCCUUUCUUUAGAUUCCAGGUAGAAAUAACCUGCAUUCCUUAUUCAAGGUUCAGGACAAAAUUCAUUCAGUUUUUUCCAUGCUGUUGCCCAGUAUCCCCUGUAGCUCCUUCACAUGCCUUCAAAGAAGGGCCUUCACCCAGGGCUUUGAAAUCUACCUGACUGCUGAUGCUGACCAGUCAAGCUGUGUUUAAUCAGUUAAAAUGUGUAUGGUUCAUUGGCUCUGUAGUUUUGGUCAUUGGCCAAUACAACUGUGAAUGACCUUCGCUCAUGCUUUUCUUUCUGGCACAAUGGGUAUAAAGGAAUACUUGUUUCAAGGUGAUUCUGCAAGCCGGCCACCCCACAGGCUGAGAAGAUGCUGGAUCCUCUGUUACACACCUCCUUUGUGUUUCCUUAAUUGAAACCUUUUCUACUUUAUUUCCUGUUUUGUUUUAAAAAAAAAAAAGUGCCAUGUUAUUAAAAAAAAAAAGUUUUACUUUAGAAGUAUGGAUUCUUUUUUAAAAGCAUAAUAGCAUUUUCAAAAAAAAAAAAAAAGGUGAUCAUUUUGGUUCCCAAAGAGCUACAUAACAAACAUGACUUCAAAUUUUAUAGUUUGAUAUGUGUGUACUUAAAUUUUUUAUGACUUUGUACACUAUAAAUGAACAUGUACUCUAGUUUAAUACCCACUAUGAUAUGAUCUGUCGAUCUGAAAACCCUGUCACUGAACACUCAUGACGUGUUAUUCUGAUACCUCAAAAAUGGGUCCCUUCCAGUGAGGUCCUAUAACAAGAAAUCCUGUGAGAGUUCCACAAUAAAAAGUCUAACAAUCAGUACUAUGCCUAGAACUGCUGGAAAGCCCCCCUGUCUCUUACUAUGUCAUCAUACUGUCGGUGUUCCAUUGGCUACCCAAAAGUUCUAUUUAAGGGGUGAAAAACACUCAAAAAUGUAAAUUACAUUAAAAUGUUCUGAGUAUCAAUAAUUUUAUACACAAACUAUUACAGAUCAUACCUGGGGCUUCUUUCAAGGUUGGGUAGAUUGUUAUAGACUUUUAGAAAAAUGAUCAUCUCUGUAUGUGAAUAUGUGUAUGACAAAGGAAAACAGAUUUUUCAGGGAAUAUGCACUUCCUUACUAAUACUUCCUUACUAAUUUUUCUGUUGACCAAAUAGUCUGUGCUUCUUUGGGAUGCUUACGGUUCUUUGGUAAAAAUAUGGUUAUUGAUGAUGUUAAUUUUUAAAAUAUCUAUUUCUGCAUCAUGGCAAUAUUUCCUUCACUUCUGUGUUCCUUAUAUGUCUAAUGUGGGCUCCAGUCCAGUUGCCUGUUAUAGUCUCUGCCUUUUUAUUUUAAAAUGUUGAUAAUUUAUAAACAUAAACGUUUAUACUGAAGUUCCUCCUCUUCAAAUUGAACUUGGUCUUUUUUUCUUUUUCCUGAAAAUUGAUUAACCAUACUCACUAAUGACUUUUUUCCUUAAAAAAAAAAAAUCAUUACUUUUUGCCCUUGGUAGAAUGAGGUUUCUUGGUCAGAUGACUCCUCAGGGGUAAUGUAUACUUUUUCCAAUAAAAUGGGUCAAGUAAAAUUUUCUCAUCUUCAGUCUGCCUCUGUUUUUAGUUGUUGGGUAGAACCAGAAACAUUACCAGUAAGUCCUCCCUCACCUCUCUAAACUCUCUCUCGGGGGCUUACAUAAAUGUGGAUAACAAAGAGAUUGGCUAAACUCCUGAUUUUUCUAGAAGACAGCAUUCCAGCCCAGCAUGGUCCUUGCAAACUAAAAACCCGUUGAUCAAUACUUUGCAAAUUGUUAAGCAAAGCACCAAGAUUGUGCUUCUCAACCUCAGCAAACUUCUAAUGGCUCCUUUCCUUGGUAAGUAAUGGGCACAGUUUGAAGGAAGGGGUAGGAGAGAAUGUUUUUACUUGCAUAAUUAAUUAAUAUUUGGCAGAGAUAAUUACUUUGCCUCUGAUACGGAGAGUUCAGCCUUUGCAUGACUUAAGAAAAUACUUUGUUAUUACUAUUCUCUGUCCUGGUUUAUUAGAUAACCUUCCUGCUACUGGAUUGAUUGAAAGCCCAUCAUUUUCUUAACAUGCUUUCUCAGCUGAAGGUAAAUUAAAAAUAACAAUUCAGUGCUAGCAGGAACUUAAAAAACGAAAUCCUACAUUAAUUCCCUUGAUUACUGACGGUCUUGAACGUUUAGCGUAAGUUCGGUAAUGAUCAGAAGCAGUUCCUAAGCUUCAGUGCGCCGUGUUUUUCCCCUCCUCCCUACGGCUCUCCUUUUUGUUUGUUCCUAGAUAUCCCUAAGAGCUGCUUCCCCAUCCCUGUGCUCUCUUGGGCAAAGGUAUCUUGGCUCUUCUUUUCCUAGACCCUCACUGUUCCGGCUAAUUUUUAGCAUUUUGUCAGGUUCCACAAAAACUGUUGCUUUGCAUUCAUUUCUUGAGGGAAGGUUGGUUUUUACAGCUUAGUGUUGCUGUGGUAGAACCGCGAGCUGGAGGAAUAAUUCCUGUUUUCCCAGCAGUGAUGCUCUUCUGCUCUUUACCAGCUUCACGUUUACAAGUGUCCAGCAGAAUGAGAACCGGUCUGUGCUCUCACUGGCUAAUGAAAAGGCUCAGUGCGGUUACAGGAGCGCUGACACAUUGUUCCGUAACAGGCAUAGCUAUGGGAGUAUGUUUCCCAGACUGAUUGGAGAUCAGAUCCAUCACACCUUAAAUCCCUAAGUCGCUGUGCUGUGUAUGUUUUAGUACGUGUGCUCAGACCUUCCAAUAAAAAGCAAACACAAAGACACACCGGGCCUCUAGUUUGGCAUAUUCUGUGCUUCCCAGGUGAUUCUGUUUCUGCUUUACUGAGCCAGCUACUAGGGGAACCCCAACACAACAUGAUGAUGAAUGCAGAAGACCUCAAAAAGGAGGAUGAAGGGAAGUAGACUAUGCCCCCAAGCAUGCCUCUUUGGCUUAAGAAUUGUUUUUAAGGAACAACAGACACAGGAAAACCAGGGGUUACCUUUCGUAAUGAAAUUCAUAAGCAAAUCUCCAUUUGAAGGGUGUCUCCCUCUUUGUAUUAAAAGAAGGAGGACUUCAAUCACAAGAAAUGCUUAUGAGGAGGAGCCCAACUUACAUCUGCAUGUCAACCUUACCAUACAUUUCCUUGUAGCUCCCCAUAAUUGGCCUUCCCCACCCCGAACACCUUUCUUGUGUGGGGAGAAAAGUAAGGUGAUAGCCUGGCCCAUUUUAGAGGGUUACUCAGUUUUCCUGGGUUUCUCCCAUGUUUACAGAAGGUGUACAUGUUAUCAAACUGUUUUUCUCCUGUUAAUCUAUCUUUUAUUACAGGGAUGGGAUCCCACUCAACAAACUAGAAAAGAAGAGGGGAAAUUAUUUUUCCUCCCCUACAGUUUGGUGACUCAUCAUGGACUUGCUGAAACAGCAUACUCCCCCUGGAGCCUACAGACAGGAUCCUGGAAAACUGGCAGAAGCUGGCAAAGGGUGUAACUGAACCAACUUGAGUUUGUUCCCUGGCCAGUCAAGAUAAACAGUAUACCCGGUUGGGUUGUUGGACAAAGUAAAAUUUGCAGCAAAAAAGGAGUUCAAAGGGCAUAACCUCCAAAGCUAUGACUCCCUGAAAGUGGGGAUGAUUACAGAGGAAGAUGAUGCUUCAUUGGAAACUACUACACCCUGUGAGUAUCAGAUUCUAGUUGUGUUGUCUGAAGUUUCAUUAUUUACCUGUAAAUGGACUUCAUCCUGAAUUCUUCUAGUUUCCUUGCAUAAUCUUGCUAGAGACCUCCUCAAAGUAACAUUCCCAAUUUUACUCUCUUUUGACUUGGAGUCACUGAAAACAAACUGCAUGAAAUUCCUGGAAAUUUGAUUUGAUAUAAUUCUAGUUACCUUAAAAUGUAGGUCACAGAAGUAACCAGAUGUCCUUGUCAGCUGCAUUAUCGUGAACUCUCAUCAGAUCUUUAAUAUUGGCCAUUUUGUAAGUCUUUUGUCAAUUACAGAAGUUAUUUCAGAACGUUUUGCAAAAGUGUGGAGCCAAGCCCUGUAAACUGAAUGUGAAGGACUUGCUAUAAACUCCACAGAAAUGCCCCAGUAGCUCAUGUUUACAGUCUUCGUGCCUGUUACCUUGUGGGCCAAAGCUGACCUCAACACAUGAUGACAGAGACAUUCACGCUGCAGAAGAUCCUUUGACCCCCAACGUGUAGAAAUCUUCUGACUGGCUGCCCUCAGGACAGAGAUUCAGUGCAUGAUUUGCUCCAACCAUUACCCUUUUCCUCCCCCCCUCCCCCCAUAGAAAUGCUGAUUAAAUCCUUGCUUGCACUGCAGAGGCCUAACUGGGCUUCCACCUGCCCCUCCCGCUCCUGAAAUGAGCCAACCUGACCUGUUCACAAGACCGACACUGGUUCCAUGAAACUACGGAACAAUCUGUCAAUCCACUCAACUUCUGGACUGUGAAGUCAGCUCUGCAGAGCCCACUGUGGAGCUUGAAGUCAUACCCUGACAUCAAAGCCACAUGCCCCACCGACUGAGCCAGCCAGGCACGCCUGCUCUCAAGGAUUUCUAAGAGUAAAGAAAUAAAAACUUCCCUUUAUAGAGGGCAGCGGUCAAAGACAUGAAAGCCUUGCACACCCGCUCCAGAGGAAUAAGUCUGUCUCCCUGCAACUCCUGCAUACCUGGGCCCACUCUUCUAUACAGCACAUUCUUUGCAGUUAAGAUCUGGAAUUCAUUACCUGACAGGCCAUUAUACAAGGCAUUUUUGAGUAAAAGAACUAUAACCCAUGCCCUGGCCAACGAUGGAGGGGGUGCUUUGGGGCGUCCUGCCCAGCACGGCUUCCCUGCUCCUCGACCCUGCACAGCGGCUGCUGAGCGAGGACCUCAGAGCGUGGUGCUGAGCAAGGGGCAUGAACGGGAACCGAGGGGGAGCUCAGGGUGGCAGGCGGGCCGUAUUCACUGCGCAGCCUUCCAUGCAGGAAGCAAACCACCCUCCAUCGGGCCAUCUGUCACCAGAGGACAGAGAACACAGGCUGGCCCACAGCAGCACACAUUGAAUUCUUCUGAACUGAAUGCCUUUCCCAAUAAGUAGACCGCUCUGGCACAGCUGCGACCCCCAUGGACCUGGACUGAGUCAGUGCGGCAGCUCCCCAGCUGGGGCAGCUGCUGGCGUAUGAGCGCAACUCUCUCGGGGGGCAGCACGGUCCCCCGAGCCGUUUCCUACAUUCCUCUCAGUGCACAAGCCCCAGUUCUCAGCGCUCUACCGUGCUUCAAGCAGCUCCAGAGCCUCCAGGGGGCUCUUCCCAGUGGCUCUACGUCCAGAGCCCCGGCCACUCCCCAGAACAUUCACAGAAGCAAAGGACACUGGGUGGCCUCAGGGAAGGGCCAGAGAUGCCCUCACAGAUGUGGAGUUGUCGCCCCCUCCACAGCUGUCCACCCUCCUCCCUGGGACACUGCCUACCUGCCUUCUGGCUCUUUCCUGAGCUGAUCCCAGACCUUCUCGGGGCUUCUUUUAUUUCCUUUUCCUCCUUGGCUGCUCUACCACACCUCAAUGUCCCUGUGAUCAGAUUGGUUGUGCCGGCCUGGGGUAGUAGCCUGAAACACUCAGCCUGGCACUAGCACCAAAGGGAGGCCACGGACACCGGAGGGGGGACUGCAGGUUUCUUCUCCUGCCGGCUGCCUUGUCCAGACGAUCGGGGUGAACUGUCCCCCCACACCAGCUUGGGGGGCAACAACAACCCCCAAAGGGAAGGGGAAGGGAUUCUGAGGCCUCCAGAGGCUGGGAGACGACGCGGGGCAAAAGGGAAAGAGCUGAGCUCCAGAAGCAGGAAGAACCGCCUCUUCAGGCAGGAACGUGACCAAUCUAUUUGUCCAGGGACCUAGCGGACAGAGGCACUGCCUCCCAAAAUUCUCAAAGGAAAUUCUGUGGUCACCUUGCGAUAAUUUGCAUGCAGGACCAUCUAUUUCCUCUUACUUUAGGGAUUAAUGAUUUAAAACCAGAGCUUUAUGAAUCAAAACUAUAGCGCGGAGGUCAUCCCAGGGAGUCAUUAAGCAAAAGGCUUGCGGACCGAACGUCCUCCCUGUGCUGGGCCUGCAAAACCUGUCGUACCCACCAGAGGGCAGCACCAGAUCAGACCUGGAGCAGGCCUAUUGACUUCAGAUUUGAGGGCAACCGUUCCUGCUGUCUACUGAUCAGGACACCAGAAGGCAGAGGGCUAUGGUGAGGAGGAAAGGAGAAGCCGGAGGCAGCGGUAGUCUUUACUCAAGUCACAAGAUUUCAGCACCCCAGAUGAGAUGAGCUCCCUCCAAAGAACCUCACAUUUGACUGAGCUUCUCAUUGAAUAAGAGAGGCUUAGAACACAGCGAAGAAAGGUGGGUAUGGACAAGGACAGAGAUCUGGGGGUCCACAGCUUUUAGGAAGUGGUAAGACACACACCGAAGUCAGAGGGGGAUAGUGACAAGCCCACAUUUCACAGGCCGCUCCCUUCUCCCCAGUGAGAGGCUUCUUUGAAACAGGGACAACGUGUGCCUGGGCUCUGCACUCACUAUUUGGCCGAGUCUGACAGCUGGUACUCCCUUCUCCUGUCGUAACACUCCUGGAUUCCUGGGUCCUCCCAGAGCUGCUUGAUGGCCUCCACCUGGUCCCUGGACAGGGCGCAGACCUUGUCCACUUCCACUUCUUUGAUUAGCUGGGCAUUUUCCUGCAUGAAGGAAAGAGAACCUGUCAUUGGGCGAAGGAAAGGAAGCCACCCCGUUGGUGACAUGGGGACAAGACUUCCCCAAGGGAAGUGGCUUAGGGCUAUGGGUUAGGGACAGUCUCCACUCACACGCAAGCCAUGCAGUGGCAGCUCCUACCCGUGUAGACGAUGUGGCUGCUUCACUCAGGGAGAGCCACAGAGAGACCUGGACCUAUGGCUUUUGGUCCUAUCAGCCUCCAGGGGCCAGUGCCACUGGCAUUUGGCACCCAUUGGUUGAACAGAGAAACCCAAGAGCCAGGGAUCCUCUCUGUCAUUUGAACAUCUGCAUGGCAGGCAGAGCAGUCUGAACUGUUCUCAUUGUCCGGGCGUCUCAGGGGUGGGGUGGCGGGUGAGGCAGCUGUGAGAGAGGGCCUGGGCUGCAGAGAACAGACAAACACUGACAUCACCAGCUAGCUGGGUCGGUCGGCUCACUUUUCCACUUCCACUUUUUUUUUUUUUUUUUUAAUAUAACUCAGUAGACUUUAUUUCUUAGAUCAGUUUUAGGUUCACAGCCAAACUAAGAAAGUUCAGAGAGUUCCCAUACUGUCUGCUUAUUUGUCAUCAGACAUCGCUGAUAAAACUCCUUCCCAUUUGGAGAGCCACUCCCACUGCAACCCCUGCCCAAGUCAAUCAUUGCUUUAUUAUUCUAUUUGUCAUUAUUAUCCUUCAAUAACUAUUGCUCUAAUACUCUUGCUCCAUUAUUACAGUACUUAAGAUUACUGCGGUCAUUAUUACUAUUCUGUCAGUUACCAUUCAUUGCCCACUUCCUGUGAGCCAAGAGGUGCACACACAUUACCUCAUUUAGUCAAUGUAAGACUAGCACGGGGCCAGAAAUCUUGCCAGACCUUAGCAAAUGAAAAUGAUAUGGUUGGCGCACAUCCUCGUGUCCCUGUGUUGGCCACAGAGAUCCAACACCCCAUCCCUUGGCUGCAGGUUGCAGAGACAAGGAAAUCCGGCCUCUCCUCUGCUCCCCCAUCCCGGCCCGGCACAUCUCCGGGCAAUGACAUCAUGCGGAGCUGGCUGUUCACUGGCCGCUGUGCCCUGCUUGCCGAAAAGGUGCUUAUAUCUUGUGUUAUUCAUCCUCAUUAACAAUCCAACAGGAAGCUGGAGAAAGGGGAGAUCUUAGAGAUUUACUUGUCUUGGGGCAAAACCGAGGGCCCUGAUGAAACCAGCAUGACUUUGCAUCCCUCUCCAUCAAGAGUGGCUAUUAACUCUUCCCCCUGGACUGCGGGAUCCUCGGCAGGGAGAGGGUCCCAGUCGCAGAAUCUCAGAUGGGUCUUGGCAGCAUGGGUGGGUGGGAAGCGCCCUGGACCGGGAAUAAGGAGCCUGAGUUCUAGUGCAUUUGGGACUUGUAAGGACCUCAGCAGUUCCCUAUCUCCACAUCCUCAUUUGUAAAAGGAGCCAAAGACUUUCAAGGCAUCUGGUUUAUCAGUUAUAAAGUAUUACCCAAAUGUAAGCAACACCAGCCCUAUUAUUGUGACAGAUGCCUAACACUGUUGGCAGAAAGAGGACACACUGAUGGCCUUCCAGCCACGACUUCGAAUCCUGCCCGCGAGCACAUCUGGCAUCCCCUGCCCAGUCCAAGCCAGAGAGCGCGCACAGCCCAGAGAAGCUGGACAGUGUGUGCCCGGAGCCUCGGGGCUGGCUUCCUCACGCUUCCCUGCCUGCCUCCGCUACCCUCUUCCUCCCGAAUAGGAUCAGAUGGUCUCUCCCCACCCUGGGCUUGGCUCUUCCCUCGGCAUUGAAAGGAUCUGUUUCCUUCCCCGUCUUUGUAACGAGCCAGUGUCUUAAUGCUCCCGAUAUCCCAGAACCCAGUGCAGUGGCACGGGCAGCCCGCAGACAUGCCGCCCAUACACCCGUCCAUCACUGGAACAAAGAACAUCCCGAGAAAGUAACAGCCGAAGAACGUGAGGGCAGGUGACGGCAGCCUGUGCCGGUCCCAGCAAGAGCACAGAGGAGCUCGAGGGCAGGAAGGGCUCUCCCAGGAGGAAAAGCCCUGGUGACUGCUGGCCAGCCUGUCUUCCUCACUCUUCCCCCCGCAGGCAGAAUCCUUGCUUCUGGGGUGCCUGCCUCUCGUGCUGCUCUCCUAACUACGACUUUUUUUAACACUUAUUUUUAAAGUAAUCUACCCCCAGAGUGGGGCUCGAACGCAUGACCCCGAGACCAAGAGCCGGCAGCGCCCCCUACAUGCAACGAUUACAUUCAGCUCGCCUGUGGAGGGGCAGCCCGGUGAGAGUCCCACCUUCCUGAGCGAGUACGAUGAGCAGAGACGCCCCGCCACAUCACCCUGCAUACCGAGCUCGAGCGAGACAUCCUCUUUCCUUGUGUGUUCCUGCAGCGUAACCGACGCUAUCCUGACGGCUGCACGGCGCAGUGGGUAAGCCCAGUAUUUGCCUCUUCCAGGAGGGAGCAAAGGGGAGCCAGGGAGGUAUCCCCGAGGAAAGCCGGUUUCGCCACCGGGAUGCAGGGGAUGGAUGCUGGGGAAGGACAGCCCUGAGCCUCCAGGUAACCAGCGGGGCUCAGCCAGGAGAGCAGUACCCAGUGACGGUUCAGCCAAGUGAGGGACAAUGCAGGGACUCUGGCUUGAAGAAGAGGGGACCACGGUCUCCUUAGAGACUAAGGUUUCUAAGGAGACUGAGGGCCCCCCUAGAAACCCAACAACUGGGAACUGGGUUUGGAACCGACUAAUUUCAAGGAAACCAGAAGUACUCCAAGUUCAGAGCUCUCCUCCCAGCUAGGUCUCCCACCUGCCUGAGGUGGUUCUUUUUCAGCUUAUUUUGAGAUAAUUUAAGACUUGCAAAAAUGUGGGGGAAAUGGCACAGGAGUUCCUCUCUGCCUUUCGAGAAUGCCCCCGGGCGCCUGGGUGGCUCAGUGGGUUAAGCCUCUGCCUUCGGCUCAG